AUUGAACGCUGGCGGCAUGCCUUACACAUGCAAGUCGAACGGCAGCGCGGACUUCGGUCUGGCGGCGAGUGGCGAACGGGUGAGUAAUACAUCGGAACGUACCCUGUUGUGGGGGAUAACUAGUCGAAAGAUUAGCUAAUACCGCAUACGACCUGAGGGUGAAAGUGGGGGACCGCAAGGCCUCACGCAGCAGGAGCGGCCGAUGUCUGAUUAGCUAGUUGGUGGGGUAAAGGCCCACCAAGGCGACGAUCAGUAGCUGGUCUGAGAGGACGAUCAGCCACACUGGGACUGAGACACGGCCCAGACUCCUACGGGAGGCAGCAGUGGGGAAUUUUGGACAAUGGGGGCAACCCUGAUCCAGUAAUGCCGCGUGUGAAGAAGGCCUUCGGGUUGUAAAGCACUUUUGUCCGGAAAGAAAUCGCGCUGGUUAAUACCUGGCGUGGAUGACGGUACCGGAAGAAUAAGCACCGGCUAACUACGUGCCAGCCGCCGCAGUAA
rnacentral:rRNA from 1 species